GACGACCGCUGGCGGCGUGCCUAAUACAUGCAAGUCGAACGCAGUGGGGACGGGUGAGUAACACGUGGGUAAGCUCCCAACAGAGGGGAUAACACUUGGAAACAGGUGCUAAACCGAGACUGCUGGAUGGACACGCGGUGCAUUAGCUAGUUGGUGCGGUAACGGCUCACCAAGGCACCGAUGCAUAGCGGAGCUGAGAGUGGAGUCGGCCACACUGGGACGUAGACACGGCCCAGACUCCUACGGGAGGCAGCAGUAGGGAAUCUUCGGCAAUGGACGAAAGUCUGACCGAGCAACGCCGCGUGAGUGAAGAAGGUUUUCGGAUCGUAAAACUCUGUUGUUAGAGAAGCGGUAUCUAACCAGAAAGCCACGGCUAACUACGUGCCAGCAGCCGCGGUAAUAC
rnacentral:rRNA from 1 species